rnacentral:tRNA from 1 species
UGCGAGAAGCGAAAAAUGUUGCAAACGGUUUCGGCCCGUUAAUUGGCGGUGGGAGUCCGCCCUUGCAAAU